rnacentral:ncRNA from 1 species
GAUAACAGCGCAAUCCUAUUCUAGAGUCCAUAUCGACAAUAGGGUUUACGACCUCGAUGUUGGAUCAAGACAUCCUAAUGGUGCAGACGCUAUUAAGGGUUCGUUUGUUCAACGAUUAAAGUCUUACGUGAUCUGAGUUCAGACCGGAGUAAUCCAGGUC